CCUCCUUUUCUUGUCAGGGACUGACUGUGUGGUCCUGCUCCCUGUUAUGUAUGGAGGCAGAGGGAAAGGGGCUCUGGCCCCCUCAAAUCAUGUCUUUGGUACCAGCCAGUUCUGUCCUCAGUUGCCUGGAUACUA
ensembl:snoRNA